GGCGGCGUGCUUAACACAUGCAAGUCGAGCGGAAAGGCCCCUUCGGGGGUACUCGAGCGGCGAACGGGUGAGUAACACGUGAGCAACCUGCCCCUGACUCUGGGAUAAGCCUGGGAAACUGGGUCUAAUACCGGAUGUGACCACUCAACGCAUGUUGUGGUGGUGGAAAGUUUUUUCGGUUGGGGAUGGGCUCGCGGCCUAUCAGCUUGUUGGUGGGGUGAUGGCCUACCAAGGCGACGACGGGUAACCGGCCUGAGAGGGCGACCGGUCACACUGGGACUGAGACACGGCCCAGACUCCUACGGGAGGCAGCAGUGGGGAAUAUUGCGCAAUGGGCGGAAGCCUGACGCAGCGACGCCGCGUGGGGGAUGACGGCCUUCGGGUUGUAAACCUCUUUCAGCAGGGACGAAGGGUGACUGACGGUACCUGCAGAAGAAGCGCCGGCUAACUACGUGCCAGCAGCCGCGGUAAUACGUAGGGCGCAAGCGUUGUCCGGAAUUAUUGGGCGUAAAGAGCUCGUAGGCGGUCUGUCGCGUCGGGUGUGAAAGCCCACGGCUUAACCGUGGGUCUGCAUUCGAUACGGGCAGACUAGAGGCAGGUAGGGGAGCAUGGAAUUCCCGGUGUAGCGGUGAAAUGCGCAGAUAUCGGGAGGAACACCGGUGGCGAAGGCGGUGCUCUGGGCCUGUACUGAC
rnacentral:rRNA from 1 species